GACGAACGCUGGCGGCGUGCUUAACACAUGCAAGUCGAACGGAAAGGCCCUGCUUUUGUGGGGUGCUCGAGUGGCGAACGGGUGAGUAACACGUGUGUAACCUGCCCUUGACUUAGGGAUAACUUUAGGAAAAUGGGGCUAAUACCGGAUAGGAGCUUCUGCUGCACGGUGGGGGUUGGUAAGUUUCGGCGGUUGGGGAUGGACUCGAGGGUUAUGCGCUUGAUGGUGGGGUUGUGGCUUACCAAGGCUUUGAAGGGUAGCCCGCCUGGGCGGGUGACCGGCCACAUUGGGACUGCGAUACGGCCCAGACUCCUACGGGAGGCAGCAGUGGGGAAUAUUGCACAAUGGGCGGGAGCCUGAUGCAGCAACGCCGCGUGCGGGAUGACGGCCUUCGGGUUGUAAACCGCUUUCGCCUGUGCCGAAGCGUGAGUGACGGUAAUGGGUAAAGAAGCACCGGCUAACUACGUG
rnacentral:rRNA from 1 species